ACGACCUUGCUUGAACAGGAUCUGUUCUAUAGGUUCGUACCUCUGUCUUCUUCUGUGCUAAGGAGACAGGAUCUUAAACCUGGUUGACGAGACAGGACCAUGUGAUCAGGGCGUGAUUAACAGCCUCAUGGUUUGAGACCUUUGAUGCGGUAGAGGAUCGUUCUCAGCCUUUCAUCUUGGUUGGGAUGAUCGCUUGGUUGUCUGACAGGUC
rnacentral:snoRNA from 1 species